rnacentral:rRNA from 1 species
AGAGUUUGAUCCUGGCUCAGGAUGAACGCUAGCGGCAGGCCUAAUACAUGCAAGUCGAACGGUAAGUGUAGUAGCAAUAUUAUACGAGAGUGACGUACGGGUGCGUAACACGUAUGCAACCUACCCUUUACAGGAGGAUAGCUCGGGGAAACUCGAAUUAACCCUCCAUGAUAUCAUUUAGUGGCAUCAUUGAAUGAUUAAAACUCUGGUGGUAAAGGAUGGGCAUGCGUCUGAUUAGUUAGUUGGUGCGGGUAACGGCCCACCAAGACGAUGAUCAGUAGGGGAACUGAGAGGCUGAUCCCCCACACUGGCACUGAGAUACGGGCCAGACUCCUACGGGAGGCAGCAGUAGGGAAUAUUGGUCAAUGGAUGGAAGUCUGAACCAGCCAUGCCGCGUGCAGGAAGAAGGCCUUCUGGGUUGUAAACUGCUUUUACCAGGGGAUAAAAAGACCGUGCGCGGUUAAUUGAAGGUACCUGGUGAAUAAGCCACGGCUAACUACGUGCCAGCAGCCGCGGUAAUACGUAGGUGGCAAGCGUUGUCCGGAUUUACUGGGCGUAAAGGGUGCGCAGGCGGUUUUGUAAGUCAGAUGUGAAAUCCCCGGGCUUAACCUGGGAAUUGCGUUUGAAACUACAAGACUAGAGUGUGGCAGAGGGAGGUGGAAUUCCAUGUGUAGCAGUGAAAUGCGUAGAGAUAUGGAAGAACAUCGAUGGCGAAGGCAGCCUCCUGGGUUAACACUGACGCUCAUGCACGAAAGCGUGGGGAGCAAACAGGAUUAGAUACCCUGGUAGUCCACGCCCUAAACGAUGUCAACUAGUUGUCGGGCCUUACUAGGCUUGGUAACGAAGCUAACGCGUGAAGUUGACCGCCUGGGGAGUACGGUCGCAAGAUUAAAACUCAAAGGAAUUGACGGGGACCCGCACAAGCGGUGGAUUAUGUGGAUUAAUUCGACGCAACGCGAAAAACCUUACCUACCCUUGACAUGUAGCGAAUUUUCUAGAGAUAGAUUAGUGCCUUCGGGAACGCUAACACAGGUGCUGCAUGGCUGUCGUCAGCUCGUGUCGUGAGAUGUUGGGUUAAGUCCCGCAACGAGCGCAACCCUUGUCAUUAAUUGCCAUCAUUUAGUUGGGCACUUUAAUGAGACUGCCGGUGACAAACCGGAGGAAGGUGGGGAUGACGUCAAGUCCUCAUGGCCCUUAUGGGUAGGGCUUCACACGUAAUACAAUGGCGCGUACAGAGGGUUGCCAACCCGCGAGGGGGAGCUAAUCUCAGAAAGCGCGUCGUAGUCCGGAUCGGAGUCUGCAACUCGACUCCGUGAAGUCGGAAUCGCUAGUAAUCGCGGAUCAGCAUGUCGCGGUGAAUACGUUCCCGGGUCUUGUACACACCGCCCGUCACACCAUGGGAGUGGGUUUCACCAGAAGCAGGUAGUCUAACCGUAAGGAGGGCGCUUGCCACGGUGAGAUUCAUGACUGGGGUGAAGUCGUAACAAGGUAACC